GUAUUAAAUAAUAAGACCUUUUCCCUGAUGUUCUGUGCUGGUGUGGGGAAGGAUGGUACCACAGUGUGAGCAAAGGAAAUCCGGAUGGGUUGUUUUCCGUUCAUCUUGAAGCCUGUCUCUACAUCUAUCUACAUUU
ensembl:snoRNA